AAUUAAAAUAACACAAUUGUCAAUCAGUUUGAGCCCUAAGCAAAUCAAUAUGUUAAUACGGCUUUAAGGCUAAUCCGUGUGCCCAGACCAGUUGCAGUUCUCAAUUCCACUUCCAGUUUCCACCGGAGGUGCAGCCAUUUGCCAGCUGGAAAACAAUCUCGGAGAUACUCCGUCGCUAAGCUUUGCCUGUAUCUAAGCUGGCGAACCAAAGUCUUUUGAUAAAUUACCAACUAGUUGGACAGACAGCAAAUGUCUAGGAAAUGAACACAGAGUCUGACAAAGUGAUCUGAAAAGCAACAAGCAGCGGAGUUUUAAAAUCUGUAUAUUGCCAAAUGAGAUGCAAAACGUAUCCGCUCGAUUGGGUGUAUCUGUAUCUGUAUCGGUAUCUGAAUCUGUGGCCAUCCAACAUUAACAGUCUGCACUCGAAGUCUAUCCGUUUCGUUACUGCCUCAUUCCCGUCCAAUUUUUUGGACGACCUGACACACUGAUCAUUUAAAAGUGCGGCCACGUCGUUCUCCAGAAUGAAGUCCAAAAUUCGAAUUGAGUUUGUUUUUGUUUUGGUAAUUUUCGACAGACAAAACUAUCAAGAAUUUUAAAUGCUUCGAUUGUAGGCCUUGGGCCAAGCAGUGGGAAAGGCAACUGGCUCGGAUUGGAAUCCACAAAAUUACAAAUAAUUAUUGUGGAAUUGCAUUUUGAGUGGUUUAUUAGAGCAGUUCUCUGUGUUAUGUGGAAGAUGCUUCACUCAAGUGGUUUGCUGAUGAGCUCGAUUGGAGUUAUCUCAACCAUACACGGCCAUCAACGUCACCCAAGUUGGCAUGGGAAAGACAAACCUUAGACAGAGGUAGACCACCAGCAGAGAGGCCAACCAAAAGGCAAAUAAAGUGUCUCCUAGGCGCAAUCCACAAUCUCCCCAAGCCACUGGACCAUGGAUGACCUGGCACAUCUUUGAUUACAGAUUGCACAAUUCAAGUGGCAACUGUGCACCGCUUACCCCAAAGUUCCAAACAAAAAAUUAAUAAAAAACAUUUGUCAAAUUAUAAGCUAUAGCAAAAACUUAUCAAAGAAACUGUCAGUAGGACCUAAAAUGUAACCGAGCCACUAAAACCGGGACCGGUUUGCCUUUCGCCCAAAAAAUUAAAAAUAAACUAAAGCUUGGCGACAGUUUUGCAAUAGGCUUUUGUGCGUAAUUAAAAGCAAAAUGUUAUAUUUUAAUUCCAUUUUGCAGCCCCAACUGGGGCACAGGUUUUUCAGCUCCUUUCCCUGGGCUGGGCGUAUAAAUAAAUCUUGCGGCAAAUACAAAAAAAAAAAAAACACAAAACUGUCAAUGCAAUUGCCUGUUAUUCCUAGCCUUUCGCAAGGCUCACUAAACUAUCCAUCAGGGUGGCGGGGUGCACAACACAGGCGGCUCACACCCACUCGGACACACACACACACACCCACAACCACACCCACCACCCUUCCGCCCCCUGCAAUGACAUACGCUUUGACUUUCGGCGCCCACACAGCGGAUAAGUCGGACUUGGGCGACAGGCGGCCCGAUUUUGGCCACCACCCACAGAGUGGACAGGCUUUUGGG